AACGAACGCUGGCGGCAUGCCUAACACAUGCAAGUCGAACGAGACCUUCGGGUCUAGUGGCGCACGGGUGCGUAACGCGUGGGAACCUGCCCUUAGGUUCGGAAUAACUCCCCGAAAGGGGUGCUAAUACCGGAUAAUGUCUUCGGACCAAAGAUUUAUCGCCUUUGGAUGGGCCCGCGUUGGAUUAGCUAGUUGGUAGGGUAAAAGCCUACCAAGGCGACGUUCCAUAGCUGGUCUGAGAGGAUGAUCAGCCACACUGGGACUGAGACACGGCCCAGACUCCUACGGGAGGCAGCAGUGGGGAAUAUUGGAGAAUGGGCGAAAGCCUGAUCCAGCAAUGCCGCGUGAGUGAUGAAGGCCUUAGGGUUGUAAAGCUCUUUUACCCGGGAUGAUAAUGACAGUACCGGGAGAAUAAGCGCCGGCUAACUCCGUG
rnacentral:rRNA from 1 species